UACGUAGGGUGCAAGCGUUAAUCGGAAUUAUUGGGCGUAAAGCGCGCGCAGGCGGCCUCUUAAGUCUGAUGUGAAAUCUUGCGGCUCAACCGCAAGCGGCCAUUGGAAACUGGGGGGCUUGAGUACAGAAGAGGAGAGUGGAAUUCCACGUGUAGCGGUGAAAUGCGUAGAUAUGUGGAGGAACACCAGUGGCGAAGGCGACUCUCUGGUCUGUAACUGACGCUGAGGCGCGAAAGCGUGGGGAGCAAACAGG
rnacentral:rRNA from 1 species